CCUACGGGAGGCAGCAGUGAGGAAUAUUGGUCAAUGGGCGCGAGCCUGAACCAGCCAAGUCGCGUGAGGGAUGAAGGACCUAUGGUUUGUAAACUUCUUUUAUAAGGGAAUAAAGUGCGGGACGCGUGCCGCUUCGCAUGUACCUUAUGAAUAAGGAUCGGCUAACUCCGUGCCAGCAGCCGCGGUAAUACGGAGGAUCCGAGCGUUAUCCGGAUUUAUUGGGUUUAAAGGGAGCGUAGUCGGCUUUUUAAGUCAGUGGUGAAAGUUUGUGGCUCAACCAUAGAAUUGCCGUUGAAACUGGGGGGCUUGAGUACAGUUGAGGCAGGCGGAAUUCGUGGUGUAGCGGUGAAAUGCAUAGAUAUCACGAAGAACCCCGAUUGCGAAGGCAGCUUACUAGACUAUCACUGACGCUGAUGCUCGAAAGCGUGGGGAUCAAACAGGAUUAGAUACCCGGGUAGUC
rnacentral:rRNA from 1 species